rnacentral:rRNA from 1 species
CAGCCGCCGCGGGAAUACGAAGGGUGCAAGCGUUACUCGGAAUUACUGGGCGUAAAGCGUGCGUAGGUGGUGGUUUAAGUCCGUUGUGAAAGCCCUGGGCUCAACCUGGGAAUUGCAGUGGAUACUGGAUCACUAGAGUGUGGUAGAGGAUAGUGGAAUUUCCGGUGUAGCAGUGAAAUGCGUAGAGAUCGGAAGGAACAUCUGUGGCGAAGGCGACUAUCUGGGCCAACACUGACACUGAGGCACGAAAGCGUGGGGAGCAAACAGGAUUAGAUACCCCGUAGUCCCUGUCUCUUAUACA